rnacentral:rRNA from 1 species
UAGAGUUUGAUCCUGGCUCAGAUUGAACGCUGGCGGCAGGCCUAACACAUGCAAGUCGAGCGGUAACAGAUUGAUAGCUUGCUAUCAAUGCUGACGAGCGGCGGACGGGUGAGUAAUGCCUGGGAAUAUGCCCUGAUGUGGGGGAUAACUAUUGGAAACGAUAGCUAAUACCGCAUAAUCUCUUCGGAGCAAAGAGGGGGACCUUCGGGCCUCUCGCGUCAGGAUUAGCCCAGGCGGGAUUAGCUUGUUGGUGGGGUAAUGGCUCACCAAGGCAACGAUCCCUAGCUGGUCUGAGAGGAUGAUCAGCCACACUGGAACUGAGACACGGUCCAGACUCCUACGGGAGGCAGCAGUGGGGAAUAUUGCACAAUGGGGGAAACCCUGAUGCAGCCAUGCCGCGUGUAUGAAGAAGGCCUUCGGGUUGUAAAGUACUUUCAGUUGUGAGGAAGGCAGUAAAGUUAAUAGCUUUGCUGUUUGACGUUAGCAACAGAAGAAGCACCGGCUAACUCCGUGCCAGCAGCCGCGGUAAUACGGAGGGUGCGAGCGUUAAUCGGAAUUACUGGGCGUAAAGCGCAUGCAGGUGGUCUGUUAAGCAAGAUGUGAAAGCCCGGGGCUCAACCUCGGAACAGCAUUUUGAACUGGCAGACUAGAGUACUGUAAAAGGGGGUAGAAUUUCAGGUGUAGCGGUGAAAUGCGUAGAGAUCUGAAGGAAUACCGGUGGCGAAGGCGGCCCCCUGGACAGAUACUGACAC